GCGAGACCCUCAUCUAUAAUUGCUACUUCAUUCUCCGGAAUGGAGGCACAUUAUCGAGACCGCUGGCGCUAAGUCAGAGGAAGGAGAGGUCAACGGUAGGUCAGUAUGCCCCGAAUCUCUUGGGCUACACGCGCGCUACAAAGGGCGGGACAAUGGGCUACGACGCCGAAAGGCGAAGUCAAUCUCGAAACCCGUCCGUAGUUCGGAUGGAGGCUUGUAACUCAGCCUCAUGAAGCUGGAUCCGUAGUAAUCC
rnacentral:rRNA from 1 species